GGCUUAGGGGAAAGUCCCCUUAGGGAAGUCCCUAUUGACCCAGGAAGUCCAGCCAACUUAGCCACUUAGUCCCUCAGCCCUGGCUUGUGGAAGCAGAGAUUCCUAAUACGGCCCUCACUUCUCCACUUUCUCCACUGGGGUUGGAAGCAGUAGGAGUAGCUAUAGAGGAUGUAUUAACACCAAUUUACAGAGAUCCUAUUGAAUUUACAUCUCUCCAGCAGGUGUGAUGCAAGGAAAACAAAGCUAAUACCCAAAGUCUUUGAGCGUGGAAAGAGAGAAAGUCCACUUUAAGCGAUGGAAAAUCAGCCCCAAUUCUGAAGGAACAACCAUGAACAGAUGAUUUAAGGAGAAUCAAUUCUUUGCUCUUUGCAGAAGGAGCCAACAGAGUGAGAUGAAGGGGACAACUUCAGAUACUCAGGCAGAAGCAUAAGUCCCCACCUGCUGACCUGCUGCCUGCUAUCUUAACACGAAUUCUUCAUCUGAAUGGAUGAGCUUUUCACAGAGUUCCAAACUAAGGAAUCCAGGAGUGGCCAAUCCAGAGAUUCAUUCCUUAUCUUUGACGAACAUCUGAACUCCUGGCUCAUCCUGUGGAAUUCAGGCCAUACAGGAGAUCAAGGUCAUUUGCUUUGGGUUAAAUGAAUGUUGCCAGGUGGAGGUUGCUAGAGGGAGAGUGCUAUGUGAAAGUGCUGUAUAAACUGCUUGCUUUUCACAAACAGUAGUGAUUCUUUAUCCUGUCCAGCCUGCCACAACUGGACCAUCCUGUAUGUAAGUCCCCUUAAUAAAUCCUGUGUCUCAUUCACUGGCUUCAAGUCUCUUCCUGGGCCUCUUGAACGUGGUGCCACCUGUAUUGAAGUCAACAGAAGUUCAGCACAACACAGGUCAAAAUGAAGAUUCUGACUCAGUAGGUCAGGAUGUUCUAACGAGCUCUAGCUGACAUGAUACGUCAGGGCUGCAGACUAGCUUUGAGCAACAAGGUGCUAGAGAAAUACCUAUAGAACAACAGAGAUGCAAGACAAAUGAGUUGGAAGUUAAAAGAUUUAAAUUCUUGUCUUAGUUUUCUCAUUAAAGAAAAGCUGUGUGACUAUGAAAAAAAAUGGCUCUCUGAGACUUUUGUUUGCUCAUCCAAGAUGAAAAUAUUGAAAUGUAUUAUACAAUAAACAUUUGCAAACAG
rnacentral:lncRNA from 1 species